AACUGUUUCGAGGGACCGAGUCGAAUCGCAGAGUCUUGUUCCGAUACUCGUACCUCCGCCUGCCAAAAAAAAACCCAGUGGCUGGCGGCGCCUGGCGAGGAGAGGGUCUGUGUACACCGGUGCUGGCAGGGCGAAAGCCGGAAAAAACGUGACUUGUCCGCGAGAUGACUACCAGCGGGAUACGAAACCGAAAAUCAAGAUGCUGCUUCAAAAAGAUAUGAGUAACUUUAUAGCACGGGUUUCGAAAACGGGAAGAAUGUAGGAGUUGGGAAGACAUUGCAUGUCCUCGCAUUCCUCCCUCUCUGCACAAACAAGCUGAUGAACAAGGAAGUGUGUGUACUGAGGAGGACUUCUGGCUACUGGAGCCUCCAAGCAAGACUGGUGAAGUCUGAGGAGGAAACCAGAAAAUGAGCAAUAUACCGAGUAGGAUCAAUGUGCACUGCUCUUUCAUGACACACCAUUUGAAUUCUAUGGAGAGAGAGCAGAAGACACGAAAACACUUGCACAAGAGAAUAAGCAUAACAGGGUCCCUGUAACAGAACCUGAAACCAGAAUUGUGGAAAAUUAUCAACACCCACACCCCAUCCUGGCGGACAUCUCACAUGAAGACCCCACUCUUUUUUCCUAAAGGGUUCUUAUGUAUGUAUAGAAACCCACAAAUUGUGCAUCUACAACAA